UAUAAAACUGAAGACAUGUCAAUCUGCUCAUGUAAAUCUUCCACUCAGUAACCUUUUGUGUGCAGCAUUUAUUGAGGCUGAUGGCAAAAAUUGAAACCAACAUCAUGGUAUUCUGAAGACCAGAGAUAUGAAUCUCCCUCAUUUGACAUCCUACUGGGCCUGAAUCUGUUUCACUGCUAAAGCUCUGCUGCCAAACCUAUACAAGCUGCCUCCCUCUAGGCCCAGGGGCUAUCAUGGAAGAGAUUGCCGGAGGCCAGAAAGUAAGACAAAUAACAGCUCACCUGCCUGGCUUGUUGGAGCAACAAGAAACUUUAAGAGCAAUCCUCCAUUUGCCAGGUUCCUUGGUAAUUAGACUUGUCAAUAGAACAGAUUUCUGUGUCCAUAAUGCAUAAGGUUAAGUAAGGGGAAGAUAACUGGAAAGCUGAGCUGGAGUUUGAAAGACAAGAUGUAUUUCAAACUUCCCUUGAACUUUCUCCAGUAAGUAUAAUUGUGUGCUUGUUGUCAACCCGGCCUUAGUCCUUGUCAUUACAGGUUCAGUAGCUGCAAAGGUGAAAUGUUUUGACAAAUAUUGAACGUCAUCUAUUUUAUACUCUGGAUCAGCAUGGAUGUUUUUUAGCUUCUUCAGACGGCUCUGUAAUGGAGUUAUAUUUGGAAGUUUCCCAGUAUGGUGCAAAAAGCCUCAUAGAGAGAGGAAGUUUAUAAACUGCAGUUCUACGCGAAGAAGAAAGACCAGAUGCUCAUCCUGCAUGACUCCUCCUUGAGCCUUUGUAUUUUCCCAGCUAGACCUUUCAGGCUUCCUAUUUAUACAUUUAUCUCAAGUAUACCGAGUGGUGACAAAGAUGCGAAUCGGCCAGCACAUUUUCACUCAGUGUAGAGAGAAGCCAUUUAAAGACUGAGAUAACAUUUCAAGAAAACAAUAAAACCUGACAAUAAGGGAAGAUGAGAAAAAAGGAACAUUCCUGACUGUGGUUCUGACAUUCACAAUGUUUCCAUCUGUUUGUUUCACUGAAAUGAUGUUCUCCCGUUCCUGUUUGGCUUAUUAAAAAGUGUAUAGGUUAAAAGAUCUGUUAAAAAUGGUCCAUAUCUGUAAAAUUGUCUGGAAAGAUCCACAGAAAGUUACAAGUUUUUUUCCUCUGGCUGCAAAUGAAAAAUAACAUAUGAAGAUCGUUUUAAAAAAUUUAUUCAAUUACUUCCAGUGUUAUUUUAUGACCCAGUUAUAUAUCAAUAAAAUUAAUAGGAAAAUUAUAUCAUAUAACUUUUAAGAGUCGUUCAUUAUUUAAACAGAGCAGUCAACAUUGGGAAGCUACCAGUUUAAGGAAAAAAGUUACUUAAGGUUAUUUCUAUAAGUACAUUAUAGAGUGUAUUACUGAGUGUUCUGUUACACUGACAGUUGUAGUGACAUUUACAAAUCCUAAAGUUAAAUUAUAUCAGUUUUACCUAUACAUUUGGAGUGAUCCAUGAGAAUGAUAGUUCAUGGGUGAUAAAUUCUCUUCCCAAUACUGUAUGGAGCAUAUCAAGAGUCAUCUCCUAUUAACUUUAUUCUCCUAAUCAAAGAGUGAAUUCUACUGUUUAACCCUAAAUCU
rnacentral:lncRNA from 10 species